AGAGUUUGAUCCUGGCUCAGAACGAACGCUGGCGGCAUGCCUAACACAUGCAAGUCGAACGAAGCCUUCGGGCUUAGUGGCGCACGAGUGCGUAACGCGUGGGAAUCUGCCCCUCGGUUCGGAAUAACAGUUAGAAAUGACUGCUAAUACCGGAUGAUGACGAAAGUCCAAAGAUUUAUCGCCGAGGGAUGAGCCCGCGUAGGAUUAGCUUGUUGGUGGGGUAAUGGCCCACCAAGGCGACGAUCCUUAGCUGGUCUGAGAGGAUGAUCAGCCACACUGGGACUGAGACACGGCCCAGACUCCUACGGGAGGCAGCAGUGGGGAAUAUUGGACAAUGGGCGAAAGCCUGAUCCAGCAAUGCCGCGUGAGUGAUGAGGGCCUUAGGGUUGUAAAGCUCUUUACCAGGGAUGAUAAUGACAGUACCUGGAGAAUAAGCUCCGGCUAACUCCGUG
rnacentral:rRNA from 1 species